AGGUAAGCUACUAAGAGCGAAUGGUGGAUGCCUUGACUGGUAAAGGCGAUGAAGGACGUACUAGACUGCGAUAAGCUACGGGGAGCUGUCAAGAAGCUUUGAUCCGUAGAUUUCCGAAUGGGGCAACCCAAUGUAUAGAGAUAUACAUUACCUAUAUAGGAGCGAACGAGGGGAAUUGAAACAUCUUAGUACCCUCAGGAAAAGAAAUCAAUAGAGAUUGCGUCAGUAGCGGCGAGCGAAAGCGCAAGAGGGCAAACCCAGUGCUUGCACUGGGGGUUGUAGGACUGCAAUGUGCAAGAGGUGAGUUUAGCAGAACAUUCUGGAAAGUAUAGCCAUAGAGGGUGAUAGUCCCGUAUGCGAAAAACAAACCUUAGCUAGCAGUAUCCUGAGUAGGGCGGGACACGAGAAAUCCUGUCUGAAGCUGGGUCGACCACGAUCCAACCCUAAAUACUAAUACCAGAUCGAUAGUGCACAAGUACCGUGAGGGAAAGGUGAAAAGAACUGAGGUGAUCAGAGUGAAAUAGAACCUGAAACCAUUUGCUUACAAUCAUUCAGAGCCCUAUGUAGCAAUACAGGGUGAUGGACUGCCUUUUGCAUAAUGAGCCUGCGAGUUGUGGUGUCUGGCAAGGUUAAGCAAACGCGAAGCCGUAGCGAAAGCGAGUCUGAAUAGGGCGCUUAGUCAGAUGCUGCAGACCCGAAACGAAGUGAUCUAUCCAUGAGCAAGUUGAAGCUAGUGUAAGAACUAGUGGAGGACUGAACCCAUAGGCGUUGAAAAGCCCCGGGAUGACUUGUGGAUAGGGGUGAAAGGCCAAUCAAACUUCGUGAUAGCUGGUUCUCUCCGAAAUAUAUUUAGGUAUAGCGUUGUGUCGUAAUAUAAGGGGGUAGAGCACUGAAUGGGCUAGGGCAUACACCAAUGUACCAAACCCUAUCAAACUCCGAAUACCUUAUAUGUAAUCACAGCAGUCAGGCGGCGAGUGAUAAAAUCCGUCGUCAAGAGGGAAACAACCCAGACUACCAGCUAAGGUCCCUAAAUCUUACUUAAGUGGAAAACGAUGUGAAGUUACUUAAACAACCAGGAGGUUGGCUUAGAAGCAGCCAUCCUUUAAAGAAAGCGUAAUAGCUCACUGGUCUAGUGAUUUUGCGCGGAAAAUAUAACGGGGCUAAAGUAAGUACCGAAGCUGUAGACUUGCGCACAACUUAGAUUAUUUAAGUUUAGAAUAUGAGAAACUAAGUUAUAUUUUUACUGAUUUUUAUAGAGUAAAGAUAGAAAUAAAACUUAGUAAAAUCAGUAAAAAUAUUCUUAGACUAAAGUUAAGUAGUUUAAGUUGUGUGCAAGUGGUAGGAGAGCGUUCUAUUUGCGUCGAAGGUAUACCGGUAAGGAGUGCUGGAGCGAAUAGAAGUGAGCAUGCAGGCAUGAGUAGCGAUAAUUAAUGUGAGAAUCAUUAACGCCGUAAACCCAAGGUUUCCUACGCGAUGCUCGUCAUCGUAGGGUUAGUCGGGUCCUAAGUCGAGUCCGAAAGGGGUAGACGAUGGCAAAUUGGUUAAUAUUCCAAUACCAACAUUAGUGUGCGAUGGAAGGACGCUUAGGGCUAAGGGGGCUAGCGGAUGGAAGUGCUAGUCUAAGGUCGUAGGAGGUUAUACAGGCAAAUCCGUAUAACAAUACUCCGAGAACUGAAAGGCUUUUUGAAGUCUUCGGAUGGAUAGAAGAACCCCUGAUGCCGUCGAGCCAAGAAAAGUUUCUAAGUUUAGCUAAUGUUGCCCGUACCGUAAACCGACACAGGUGGGUGGGAUGAGUAUUCUAAGGCGCGUGGAAGAACUCUCUUUAAGGAACUCUGCAAAAUAGCACCGUAUCUUCGGUAUAAGGUGUGGUUCGCUUCGUAUUAGGAUUUACUCCGAAAGCGAAGAAACUUACAACAAAGAGUCCCUCCCGACUGUUUACCAAAAACACAGCACUCUGCUAACUCGUAAGAGGAUGUAUAGGGUGUGACGCCUGCCCGGUGCUCGAAGGUUAAUUGAUGGGGUUAGCAUUAGCGAAGCUCUUGAUCGAAGCCCGAGUAAACGGCGGCCGUAACUAUAACGGUCCUAAGGUAGCGAAAUUCCUUGUCGGUUAAAUACCGACCUGCAUGAAUGGCGUAACGAGAUGGGAGCUGUCUCAAAGAGGGAUCCAGUGAAAUUGUAGUGGAGGUGAAAAUUCCUCCUACCCGCGGCAAGACGGAAAGACCCCGUGGACCUUUACUACAGCUUGACACUGCUAUUUGGAUAAGAAUGUGCAGGAUAGGUGGGAGGCUUUGAGUAUAUGACGCCAGUUGUAUAUGAGCCAUUGUUGAGAUACCACUCUUUCUUAUUUGGGUAGCUAACCAGCUUGAGUUAUCCUCAAGUGGGACAAUGUCUGGUGGGUAGUUUGACUGGGGCGGUCGCCUCCCAAAUAAUAACGGAGGCUUACAAAGGUUGGCUCAGAACGGUUGGAAAUCGUUCGUAGAGUAUAAAGGUAUAAGCCAGCUUAACUGCAAGACAUACAAGUCAAGCAGAGACGAAAGUCGGUCUUAGUGAUCCGGUGGUUCUGUGUGGAAGGGCCAUCGCUCAAAGGAUAAAAGGUACCCCGGGGAUAACAGGCUGAUCUCCCCCAAGAGCUCACAUCGACGGGGAGGUUUGGCACCUCG
rnacentral:rRNA from 1 species